rnacentral:misc_RNA from 1 species
GGUGGAAUGCAGUUUGUGGACUGGGCUAGAUGGAGUGGGGUUCAAUAAUGGUGCGUCUUCAUGUUUGCUUCAAGCUGUCAUGUUGGGAUAUUGUUAAAAUUGUAGUACCAUCAAACGAAAAACAUUAAACAUCCAUUUGUAGUAGAAUGCCAAGUGCUGGAAAAGCCUGUUGUUUUAUGUGGGAACGCUUUUUUCUUUUUUUUACAUGAAAAAGCUUUCAUUUAUACAAGGG